AAUUAGUGUGAAAUCACUAAAAAACAUGAAUUUUAGUAUUAAGCCAGGCAAAAUGUAAUUAAGGAAGUAAAUCUAUAACAAAAACUGUGUAAUGGCUUUUGAUGUUCAAGGAAAAAUGGCUUUUGGAUUAUCUGCUAUUAGGAAGUAUUUUAUUCAUAUGCUCUUCUCUUCUACUCAUUCAUUUAUUCACUCCAUAAUUAUAGAGAACAUGCUAAAUAGGUAGGAAUUAGACCCUGAUUUGAAGCAGAUCAUAGAAACUGAUGCUGAGUUGAUGAUGAACAACUGUUUUCACCAUUAACUUGUGGGUCUGCUUCCAGAGGUGUCCUUUGAUCUUUAAGAACAGCUGCAAAAAGGAAAAAAGAAAGAAGAAAAAGUCAAGAUUGGCCACACUUAGGACUUUGGUGGAAUUACAGGUAAAUCUUCCACAAUUGGAUGCCAAUUAUACAUCUGAGUGUCACCCUCCAUGGGUGUUGUCUUAAUCUCCUCCAAAAUACAGAGGUCACUUUGAAAGUGCCUCUGACAAACUCUAAAUUACCAGGGAUUACUUUCUGUUUCUUUGAAAAUGACUUUCAUGUGAAAAUGUUUCAGAAACAUAAAAGUUAAUCACCCCCUAUCAUUACUUGCAUCUAGCAGCAGGGUAAAGAGGAAAUUAAAUUCUUUCCUACAAAAUGAAUUAGAACCUCACUCAAUCUUCUCCAUAUUAUGUGUAGAAAUGGAAGACAACUCAGUUCUACUCUCUCUUUCUCCUGUCAUCCCUCCCUCCCUCCCUCUCUCUCUCUCUCUCACUCUUUCUCGCUCUCAAAAAGAAAAAGAUAAAACACAGACUGUUCCAAAACUUUCACAGCUGGAGAGGAAUUCCAGGGAGAAUUCUAUUUCUUCCAGAAGUAUACUGUGAAAUUCUAAACCUACAAAUUCAUGAGAUGUUAGGUCUCUAACAAACGAAAUGUACCUAUUGACAUAUUCAACAGAAACUGUCAAAGUCAUCAUGUUACCCUACAUAUUUUAUUAUCGGUGUUCAACAAAUCCUUUAUGUUCAUUUUUAAUAAGGAUGCCCAGUCCCCAAAUUUCCCUUACAUUUCAAACUUUUCAAUAGGCUGGCCUGAAUGUAAAAUGGAAUUCUUGUGUUUUACUGACUCCAGGGUGCUCAGCUUGAACUCCAUGAAUAAAAUAUGACUCUGAUCAUUAAAAUGUAAUAAAAGCAGUGCUGUGAAACCUUAACCUGAACAAGCUUGCUCUCUGAUCCUGGGGGCAACCUUCAGCUGUUCUCUCAGCAGGACCUCCUUUGCAGAGAAGCCAGGCCUUGUACAAACCACUGGAAGCUACUCAUCCAACAUGCACCGCUAAACACACAGUCAGAGCCAUUUCCACGGUAGGAAUCUCCUGGUGGCUCUCAGUGCUCUUGUCAUUUUCAGUCGGCUAGAGUCUUCCUACUCUCAUUCUCCUCCCAGGAAAAAUAAAUCAAUAGAUGAGAAUCAGGCUCAGGUUGUAAAAAGGUGAUAUUUGUAUUUGAGUGUCCCUCAAUUUGUCUUUCCAAAAAUCUCCUUGCAGGAGAAGAGACCAAGGUGACUUUUCAAUCAGCUCAUCCUUUAAGGGAAGGCUCUGCAAAUGUUCAUCGAGAAAGACCAGUGGAACUGAGAAGACCCUCAAGUAAGCAAUGGGCACAGCAUACCUCAGUCAGACUGUGCUCUUGGGAUUUCGUCUUACUGGUGCAGAUGUGACUCUCAAGCAGUGAGUGGGAUGCCUAUGCCUACCAGGAUUUCCCAGACAGAGUGUUUAACACCUAGAGAGAGCCUAUUUCUACGCUGGGUGAAAAGGCCCAUUUCAGCUCACAGUCCAAGAUGAGAGUCACUUUUUCUGCUCAAGAGAAUAUAGUUCAAGAUUUCUCUCCUGCUACCACAGCAUGGACAGAAAAUGGAACUGCCCAACCAGAGGGAAAGGAGAUCCUAUCAAAGAAAAAGGAGGUAAAUAAAUUAAAAUUCCCAGGUAAUGUGUACUAAUGUCACAUUUUUUGUAGUGAUUAACUUUAUACUUAAGUAAGUUUGGGACAAUCGUGUAAAAAGAAUGACAACUAUUUGGUGGGGGAAAAAAAAAAAGGACUAUGAGUCUAUGUUCAAUAUCGCAAACAUUCUAGUGCUGAAGAGGUGUCACUGUAUCAAAAUGAUGGGUUUGGUUGAUUCUACUGAAAUGAAAUACUGACCACUAUAAGUUUUUACCUAUGAGACAUGGCUAGCAGUGAAGGGAAAAGGUGAUUGGCCAAAAUGAACACAAAUAGACACAUCAAGGGAUGACUACAUUUGGUCAGGACUUUUGAAGCUUAGAGUCAGUCUCCGGUCUAACUUUUAAUAUAUGCUUUUAUCAGUUCUGAGCUCUGUCUAGUAAAAUUUUUACUUGAAAGAAUUGGUCAAUAGUUUGAAUACUUUAAAGAGAAGAAAUCAUCAGAUAAGAUGGGGUUGGGAUGCUGCUUAGACAUAAUACCAUCCCUUCUAUGCUCAGCUAAAGUGUUGGUCUUAACCCCAGUAAGUAGGGUGCUUGAGAGAGUAUAUCAGUCGAGCUGCAAAGCGAAGGUAAUAUCUGAGAAUUUUCUGUUAUUGACUGAAUUUUUCUCUUUUGUUUAGGCCAGAGCUGGCCUUCAGAUAUACACAAUGGAAUACUACUCAGCCAUAAAAAAGAAUGACAUAAUGCCAUUUGCAGCAACAUGGAUGGAACUAGAGAAUCUCAUCCUGAGUGAAAUGAGCCAGUAAGACAAAGACAAAUACCAUAUGAUAUCACUUAUAACUGGAAUCUAAUAUCCAGCACAAAUGAACAUAUCCCCAGAAUAUUUCUUAUUCUAGUUUCUUCCAACCUACAGGAUGACAGUAUUAUGAUCAGUACAGCUGAAAUACUGAGAGUAAUCUUUCUUUGUUAGGUAUGGUUACAAUUCCAGUAAGUAGGGUGACAUUCAGAAUGUUUGCCAGCUAGUCAGCCUGGGGCCCUGGAUCAGGGAUCUGAAAUUCUUUGGCUGUUGAAUGGGAAGGAGCUGGGGGUGGGUGGUUCCUAAAGACAGAGCUGAAACUUCAGGGAGCAAAGGGUGAUGGGAGGGUAUUUAUUUCAUUGACUUCUCAAAGGGAACACAAGCCUAAGACUGAUUAAGAGGAAGCUGACUACAUCAGAGUUUAAAACUCUGUGCAUCAAAGGACACAAUCAACAGAGUACAAAGCAACUUAUGCAAUGGUAGAAAAUAUUUGCAAAUAAUAUGUUUCAUAAGAGAUUAAUGUCCAGAAUAUAUAAAGAGCUCCUAUAACUCAACAACAACAACUACAACAAAACAAUUAAAAAUGAGCAAAGGGCUUAAGCAGUAAAUUUCUUUGAAGAAGAUAUACAGAUGGCCAAAAACAUGUGAAAAGAGCUCAACACCACUAAUUAUCAGGGUAAAGCAAAUCAAAACCAUGAGAUACCAUUUCACCCCCUUUAGGGGG
rnacentral:lncRNA from 1 species